GAUGAACGCUAGCGGCAGGCCUAAUACAUGCAAGUCGAACGGUGUAGCAAUACACAGUGGCGCACGGGUGCGUAACACGUAUGCAACCUACCUAUCAUUGGGGGAUAGCCUUUGGAAACGGAGAUUAAUACCGCAUAAGACAGUAACAUGGCAUCAUGUAGCUGUUAAAGUUUCGGCGAUGAUAGAUGGGCAUGCGUCCAAUUAGUUAGUUGGUGAGGUAAUGGCUCACCAAGACGAUGAUUGGUAGGGGAUCUGAGAGGAUAAUCCCCCACACUGGCACUGAGAUACGGGCCAGACUCCUACGGGAGGCAGCAGUAGGGAAUAUUGGGCAAUGGACGGAAGUCUGACCCAGCCAUGCCGCGUGCAGGAUGAAGGCGUUAUGCGUUGUAAACUGCUUUUUUAUAGGAAGAAGGAGACCUUGCGAGGUUUGGUGACGGUACUAUAAGAAUAAGCACCGGCUAACUCCGUGCCAGCAGCCGCGGUAAGAC
rnacentral:rRNA from 1 species